UGAGGGAAAUCCUGCAUAUCCAAGCUGUGUAGGGUGGCAAUCAAGUAUAUACUAAGUUCUGGUUGUUGCUCAAUGACGAGCACAGCAUCAAGCCUGCCAGCACUUACAAUAGAACAGUGAUCUGUAGCCAGACCAGAUCUUCAGGUGUUUCAAUAAGGCUACAGGUAGUUGAUUGAUUUCUUUUGCCAUCUAGGAUGAUUCUAUAUCAAGGACUAUGAAAUAUGUUUGCUCACAUCAUUUUGACCAGAUCUUCAGGCCAGACGACUUUGUCUUUAGUCAGUCUGGAGCAGGCUAUGGCCACAGAAGGAAGGAAGCAGAGCUGACAGCCUCCAUCGUGAUAUCGUAUCUAAGGUAUCUAGAGCCAUUACAGGCCUCAAGGCUUCCUAUGGACUCAAUGGCUAGAUGGGGGCAUGGGCUCCGGCAUGGGCACCCUUCUCAUUUGCAAGGUCUGUAUCCAGGACCCUGAUCACCUCAUAACAUCUAGCACAAGCCCUUCACCCAAAGUUUAGGCACCAUGGCCAAAUACCAUACCAUAUUCUCUGCCCACUGGUUGGUGGACACCAUAAAUAAUGAGGUGCUCUACUUUGUUUCUGAAACUUCAAGCUGACCCUCUGACAUUGACAGUGACCUGAGCCACGCCAUCUUGAUCUGCCUGUCUCCACUUUCCAGGCCAGUUCAAUACAAAUUUCCACAAACUGGUGGUCUGCCUGGCCCCCGUUCCUUAUGUUACUUCUUUAUGUCAGAUUUUGCCUCACUCACUAGCUUGGGAAACUACUAGUACUCGGCUCUGACUGCAGCAAAGCUCACCCAGCAAACUCUCAACGCCAAAACAAGA
rnacentral:lncRNA from 1 species